rnacentral:rRNA from 1 species
CCUACGGGGGGCUGCAGUAACGAAUCUUCCGCAAUGCACGAAAGUGUGACGGAGCGACGCCGCGUGCGGGACGAAGCCCCUCGGGGUGUAAACCGCUGUCAGGGGAAAGAAAGUUCUGAUCUACCCCAGAGGAAGGCACGGCUAACUCUGUGCCAGCAGCCGCGGUAAGACAGAGGUGCCGAGCGUUAGGCGGAAUCACUGGGCUUAAAGCGUGUGUAGGCGGACCUGUAAGUACCUUGUGAAAUCCCACGGCUCAACCGUGGAACUGCUCGGUA